rnacentral:rRNA from 1 species
GAUGAACGCUGGCGGCGUGCCUAAUACAUGCAAGUCGAGCGAACAGACGAGGAGCUUGCUCCUCUGACGUUAGCGGCGGACGGGUGAGUAACACGUGGAUAACCUACCUAUAAGACUGGGAUAAUUUCGGGAAACCGGAGCUAAUGCCGGAUAAUAUAUUGAACCGCAUGGUUCAAUAGUGAAAGACGGUUUUGCUGUCACUUAUAGAUGGAUCCGCGCCGCAUUAGCUAGUUGGUAAGGUAACGGCUUACCAAGGCAACGAUGCGUAGCCGACCUGAGAGGGUGAUCGGCCACACUGGAACUGAGACACGGUCCAGACUCCUACGGGAGGCAGCAGUAGGGAAUCUUCCGCAAUGGGCGAAAGCUUGACGGAGCAACGCCGCGUGAGUGAUGAAGGUCUUCGGAUCGUAAAACUCUGUUAUUAGGGAAGAACAAAUGUGUAAGUAACUAUGCACGUCUUGACGGUACCUAAUCAGAAAGCCACGGCUAACUACGUG